rnacentral:rRNA from 1 species
AUUGAACGCUGGCGGCAGGCCUAACACAUGCAAGUCGAGCGGAUGAAGGGAGCUUGCUCCUGGAUUCAGCGGCGGACGGGUGAGUAAUGCCUAGGAAUCUGCCUGGUAGUGGGGGAUAACGUCCGGAAACGGGCGCUAAUACCGCAUACGUCCUGAGGGAGAAAGUGGGGGAUCUUCGGACCUCACGCUAUCAGAUGAGCCUAGGUCGGAUUAGCUAGUUGGUGGGGUAAAGGCCUACCAAGGCGACGAUCCGUAACUGGUCUGAGAGGAUGAUCAGUCACAACGGAACCGAGAAACGGUCCAGACUCCUACGGGAGGCAGCAGUGGGGAAUAUUGGACAAUGGGCGAAAGCCUGAUCCAGCCAUGCCGCGUGUGUGAAGAAGGUCUUCGGAUUGUAAAGCACUUUAAGUUGGGAGGAAGGGCAGUAAGUUAAUACCUUGCUGUUUUGACGUUACCAACAGAAUAAGCACCGGCUAACUUCGUG